UGCACUGAAUGAGAUUUUAACACGAAGUGAGUGGCGGACGGGUGAGUAACACGUGGGUAACCUGCCCAGAAGCAGGGGAUAACACCUGGAAACAGAUGCUAAUACCGUAUAACAGAGAAAACCGCCUGGUUUUCUUUUAAAAGAUGGCUCUGCUAUCACUUCUGGAUGGACCCGCGGCGCAUUAGCUAGUUGGUGAGGUAACGGCUCACCAAGGCGAUGAUGCGUAGCCGACCUGAGAGGGUAAUCGGCCACAUUGGGACUGAGACACGGCCCAGACUCCUACGGGAGGCAGCAGUAGGGAAUCUUCCACAAUGGACGCAAGUCUGAUGGAGCAACGCCGCGUGAGUGAAGAAGGGUUUCGGCUCGUAAAGCUCUGUUGUUAAAGAAGAACGUGGGUGAGAGUAACUGUUCACCCAGUGACGGUAUUUAACCAGAAAGCCACGGCUAACUACGUGCCAGCAGCCGCGGUAAUACGUAGGUGGCAAGCGUUAUCCGGAUUUAUUGGGCGUAAAGCGAGCGCAGGCGGUCUUUUAAGUCUAAUGUGAAAGCCUUCGGCUCAACCGAAGAAGUGCAUUGGAAACUGGGAGACUUGAGUGCAGAAGAGGACAGUGGAACUCCAUGUGUAGCGGUGAAAUGCGUAGAUAUAUGGAAGAACACCAGUGGCGAAGGCGGCUGUCUGGUCUGUAACUGACGCUGAGGCUCGAAAGCAUGGGUAGCGAACAGGAUUAGAUACCCUGGUAGUCCAUGCCGUAAACGAUGAUUACUAAGUGUUGGAGGGUUUCCGCC
rnacentral:rRNA from 1 species